CCUGGCUCAGAUUGAACGCUGCGGCAUGCUUUACACAUGCAAGUCGAACGGCGAGCGCGGGGGCAACCCUGGCGGCGAGUGGCGAACGGGUGAGCAAUGCAUCGGAACGUAUCCUGUAAUGGGGGAUAACGUAGCGAAAGUUACGCUAAUACCGCAUACGCUCGAGAGAGGAAAGUGGGGGAUCGCAAGACCUCACGUUAUAGGAGCGGCCGAUGUCCGAUUAGCUAGUUGGUGGGGUAAAGGCCUACCAAGGCGACGAUCGGUAGCUGGUCUGAGAGGAUGAUCAGCCACACUGGGACUGAGACACGGCCCAGACUCCUACGGGAGGCAGCAGUGGGGGAAUUUUUGGACAAUGGGCGAAAGCCUGAUCCAGCCAUGCCGCGUGCGGGAAGAAGGCCUUCGGGUUGUAAACCGCUUUAGUCCGGGAAAAAGGGGUGCGAGGAUAAUACCCUUGUGCUUUGAUGGUACUGGAAGAAUAAGCACCGGCUAACUACGUG
rnacentral:rRNA from 1 species